rnacentral:lncRNA from 1 species
UAGAGAAAUGACCAAUAGAUCUCAAGCCACUCAAAAGAAACAAUUUCGGCAUCAUCCGUCAUUAUCAUGGAAAUUGCAGGAGCAGCAAUCAAUUGAUGAAUUGAAUAAGGAACUGGGUCACUCGGAUGUAUGUAUGUCAAUGUCUGGUUCCUUACUAGGCAAUGCAAAUUCUUCUGCUGCCAGGAUGGGAAACCAUGCUUUCCUGCCCAAUGCAAGAACUGGAGUCAUUUUAUUGCACCGAAUCUUCUGCCUCCAAUCGUCCCGAUGUUUUCAGCAGCUCUUGAGAACUACAUAAAGAUUGCAACUGCCAGACUCUAUCCGGUGGCGUAUCCAAGCGGCAAUGCCCGUGCUUCCUUCAACUCAGUGGCGAUUAAUGAUCCUAUCUCAGCACAACAGAGUUUGCAAUGCGUGAAGAAUUGUCACUUAAAGCGGCUAUUCUAGCCGAGAAGUUUGCACCAGAUCUUUCAUGUUUGUUACAAACAACGAAGACCUAUAGCCUUAUACUACAGGAAGCUCUACAAUUCGAUUCCUGGAAAUGUGGAGUACCGAACAAAAUAUUUGGAUUCACAGUAAAAAGCCAAUGCCGCAACAUUUUGCCUCCGAAUGAAUCGCACCCAAAGUCAUGUGAAAACCAUGCCAAAGCAUCAUUCAAUUUCCAAGCAGGACUGCUGCAACACAUAACACACAAAAUAAGUUAAUUCCAAAACAAAUUUUUGAAUUAAGUGAGUUACAGUGGUGAAUUGUUUCUUACCAACAGUGAAGUGGAAAUGGAGAGAAUUGAGGAAGAGGGACCACAAGUGGAAUAAGGACAAAACUCCCCAGACACUGUACAAACAAACCUCUCCACUACACAGCAGACCUCCACUACACAACAGGAAACACAACAGAGGAAAGAGAUGGGUCAUAUAUAAAAGGGGAUUACUAUUCACAACAACCCUAAUUUUUGGAGAGAAGGCGGCUACCAUUCAGAAAAGAAAAAAAGAGAAUUGAAGGCUACUGUUCACUAAGAAGGAAGGAAGAUUUCUGCAAAAAAACAAAAAGUGUAGGACGAACGGGAGCUCAGAAGAGACGAGCAAGAAGAAAGGAAAACGUUCAGGCGAAACGCUUGUCUACAUUUGUCUGUCGAGCUCGCCGCAACCGGUUAGCUUCCUUUCCGAGUUUUAUUUUUAAGUUUCGAUUCUGCUUUGCAUCCUUAUGAGGAACCAUGGUUGUAUUCUGAUUCGGUUUCAUCGAAGCCUCCAUGUUUGAUUUAGCAAUACCGUCGCCAUGUUUGUUUGUGAUGUUAUCUUACUGUUAUUUCAAUCUCCAUGAAAUAUUCCGUUCUUACUGGAUGGUCUGCUGUUGUUUGGUUUUUCUUCCAUUUAUACGUUUCCAAUACAUUUAUCCUUCUUCACGCCAUCUAUGACAUCAGUGGGCUGGUGGUAGAAAUGGCCAGGACGUUGUUUGGAAAACCCUAGGUUCUGGGUUUGAUUCCUGGGUUCUAACAUUUCUUAUUUUUAACAUAUUUUCUAUUUUUUAAUAGUUUUAUUUAUUACCUUUUUUU